CCCUUGACAUCCCGAUCGCGGAGAGUGGAGACACACUCCUUCAGUUCGGCUGGAUCGGAGACAGGUGCUGCAUGGCUGUCGUCAGCUCGUGUCGUGAGAUGUUGGGUUAAGUCCCGCAACGAGCGCAACCCUCGCCCUUAGUUGCCAUCAUUCAGUUGGGCACUCUAAGGGGACUGCCGGUGAUAAGCCGCGAGGAAGGUGGGGAUGACGUCAAGUCCUCAUGGCCCUUACGGGCUGGGCUACACACGUGCUACAAUGGCGGUGACAAUGGGAAGCGAAGGGGCGACCCUUGGCAAAUCUCAAAAAGCCGUCUCAGUUCGGAUUGGGCUCUGCAACUCGAGCCCAUGAAGUUGGAAUCGCUAGUAAUCGCAGAUCAGCACGCUGCGGUGAAUACGUUCCC
rnacentral:rRNA from 1 species